rnacentral:rRNA from 1 species
GUGGGGAAUAUUGGACAAUGGGCGAAAGCCUGAUCCAGCCAUGCCGCGUGUGUGAAGAAGGUCUUCGGAUUGUAAAGCACUUUAAGUUGGGAGGAAGGGCAGUAAGUUAAUACCUUGCUGUUUUGACGUUACCGACAGAAUAAGCACCGGCUAACUUCGUGCCAGCAGCCGCGGUAAUACGAAGGGUGCAAGCGUUAAUCGGAAUUACUGGGCGUAAAGCGUGCGUAGGUGGUUUUGUAAGUUGGAGGUGAAAUCCCCGGGCUCAACCUGGGAACUGCCUCCAAAACUGCAUGACUAGAGUACGGUAGAGGGUAGUGGAAUUUCCUGUGUAGCGGUGAAAUGCGUAGAUAUAGGAAGGAACACCAGUGGCGAAGGCGACUACCUGGACUGAUACUGACACUGAGGUGCGAAAGCGUGGGGAGCAAACAGGAUUAGAAACCCGAGUAGUCC